GUGCUCACUUUGGUAAGCUCAUCCACUAAAACUGGAAUGAUUAAGAGAAAAUAUGUACGGUUCUUCUACAAGGAAGAAAUGCAAAGUCAUGACGUAGUCUAUAUAUUU